AAGGCAGACUAUGAACAAGUUUGGCAGCUGAAAGGGGAUUUUUCUAGUAAUGUUGCCUAGCACACGCUGCUUACGUGCCUCUGUCAGCCACUCGGCAAGGCUCAGAGAGCCUAUUGCCUAUAAAGAGGUGACCUUUCAGCUGGACUGAUAUGGUUGUGCCGGGAGAAAAAUCAAAAGCCUGAUCACCAUUCCUGGGCCAAACCAUCUGGCAUCAAGACUGUCCAGUACCACAGGUUCACACAGAAGGUUUACAUUUACAAUUGUAUAAGGGACUCCUCUGAGCCAGGAAUUCCUGUUAUAUCUCUUUGCCUUUUUCUUGAAAAAAGAAAAAAAAAUGAAGCCUGCACACUUGCUUUGCCUGUUGCUGAGCUGCUUUUCGGUACACGAAGCUGCCUGUAAACCCUUGAAGCUGGACUGCACUCUUGGAAAAUGUAGCCCAUGCCCAACUCAAUACACAGUGGAGUGUUCGGAGGAUAACUGCUGUGCUACAUGUGCUGCUCCAUGUUCCUGCCCAGAUUAUCACCAGUUGGAAUGUGCCAUGCAAGGCUAUGAGGAUGGAAACGUCCCUGUGGGACAAUCUUUCUACAUUGACUUUGCCACCCAACUCUGCACCUGUGUUUCUACAGGGAAUAUCUCCUGCGUGUCAGUUUGCCCCACGGUUUCACCUACGUGUAAGGAGACAGGCAGCCUUCCUGAUGCCUGUCCCCAGUGCGUAUGUCACUUGGACAAUGAGAGACUCAUAACUGCUGGCACCACCGUCCCCAGGGACAGGGAGAUUUGUGUAUGUCCCCCUGACGGAGGGAAACUACUCUGCACCCCAACCACACCUCCGCCCACUACAGGUCUAGAAAUUAUCCCUUGAAGAACUCCAUUGUCCCUGUACCCUGCUCUUCCCCACCCCAUCCCCACUGUAACAUAGGGCAUCACAGGCCUCAUCCUUACUCCUGUCCAAGGCCAUCCUGAAGGGGCAGGGCAAGGCCUAGCAUAGCCCUCUUGCUCUAGCUGGGCCCGGCCUCCACUCCAUCCUUUCCCACAAACCCCUCUCUCUGGUCUGCCCCAUUCCACCCUUUUCCCCAAGCCUUCUCCCCCAAGUGGCAUUAGAUGUCAGCAGAGUGGCCUGGGGCCGGAUUAUUCUGCUUCCCAUUGCUGCUGGUUCCAGACCACCUUCUAAUCCCCUGGCCACACUUGGUCCUGUACUUCUGUGCACCCCUAAAGGGUGGGAGCUGAGGUAGUUGCCCUGAACCUUUGUAUGGACAGAACAGAGGUGCCCCUACCAUACCAUACUAGAUGACAGGAAGGAAAAAACCACAACUGCACAUGCACACUCUGUGCUCAGAACCACAGCUGGUGUACACAGGCCAUUAUGGUUACACAUUGGUGCACUCAGACAGAAAUGUUUACUUCCUUUCCAAUUUUAGGGUGCCUGCCUCUUUAAUGGAUGACAGUCUGUGGACCAGUACCAUUUUGUGUGCAUGCGC